UUGAACGCUGGCGGAAUGCUUUACACAUGCAAGUCGAGCGGCAGCGCGGGGGCAACCCUGGCGGCGAGCGGCGAACGGGUGAGUAAUACAUCGGAACGUACCCAGUUGUGGGGGAUAGCCCGGCGAAAGCCGGAUUAAUACCGCAUAAGUCCUGAGGGAGAAAGCGGGGGACCGUAAGGCCUCGCGCGAUUGGAGCGGCCGAUGUUCGAUUAGCUAGUUGGUGGGGUAAAGGCCUACCAAGGCGACGAUCGAUAGCUGGUCUGAGAGGACGACCAGCCACACUGGGACUGAGACACGGCCCAGACUCCUACGGGAGGCAGCAGUGGGGAAUUUUGGACAAUGGGCGAAAGCCUGAUCCAGCCAUGCCGCGUGCAGGAUGAAGGCCUUCGGGUUGUAAACUGCUUUUGUACGGAACGAAAAAGUCUUCUCUAAUACAGGGGGCGAAUGACGGUACCGUAAGAAUAAGCACCGGCUAACUACGU
rnacentral:rRNA from 1 species